UAUAAAGCUAUUAAACAGUGUAUUUUCAUGCCAUAUAUGAUCCAAAGGGGUAUUAAUUAUUCUUAAGUAUAAAUAUACUUAACUGUACUUUAUUUUAUUACGAAAAUCAUAAAACCAGUUAAAACCGAGAAAUUCCCGAGAGAGUUCUUCGUGUUCUUGAGAUUCAAACGAGGAUUUGGACGCGUUAUCGGACUCGGAUUUUGGUGUUCAAGGGCUCAAAUUGAAGGUUUUAACAAGUAGAAUCAUAAUCUAGCAUCAAAAUCAGUGCAGCAACAUCAGGUGGGUUUGGAUUUUGAGUUUUAAAUUCAAAUUAAAUAAGCUUAAAUUAGGGCUUUUUGAUUUUGAAGUUGUUUAUGUGUUUUGAUGAUUGUAUGUUGUAGAUAAUGUUCUCCUGAUCAUUUUGGUAUAUCAUAUGCAUGAUUUGGAGUUCAAUAACAUGUUCAAAAUUGGGUUUAAUUGUUCGAAUUAGAAACUAGGGUUUAUAGCCGUUUGAAUGUUUUCAAUUGGAAAUUGGGGGUUUGUUAUUCUGGAGUUACACGUGUAAAUAGAAGUGUGGAAUGGAUUGGGGAGGUUUAGAGGAGUCGAAUGGUGGUAUCAAAAGUAGGGUGAGGUUCAGGAAUGGCCAGAAUCGGAGUAAAGAAGACUCGCCGGCGACGGCGAGUUUCUUCGUCGAUUUCCGGCCAAACCACUGCGUUGAUGAUCGAAUUGAGUGGAUAAGUAGGUUCCUGGUGGUUUCUUUGUUGUAUCUGCACACUUUGGGAGUGUUCUGGGCGCCGUAGUGAAGUUCCGGCGAAACUCCGGUGAGUUUCUGCCGGGGAAGGUGACCGGAGGGUCAAACUACGGUUUGACCCCCCAAAUUUCAAUAACGAUGCAAUUGUCCCCCAAACUUUCUGUUUUUACAGUUAAGCCACCCUGAAAGUUUCCAAAAGUUGCAAUUCAAACCCUGGGCUUUUAAAAAGUUUUAAAAAUGAUUUCUGAUUUAAAUUUAAUUUCGAAAAUCAUUUAUUUUAAUUUCAAAAAUUGUUUUUAAUUAUUUAUUAAUUCAAAAAUAAAUCUGAUUUAAUUUAUUAAUUAAUUUUAAUUAGUAAUUAAUUAUAAUAAUUAGUCAAUUAAUUUAAUUAUUAAUUGAUUAAUUGUUUUAAUUAAUUAUUAAUUGAUUUUAAUUGAUUUAUUAAUUAGAUUUAAUUAUUUUAAAUAAUUUUAAAUGAUUUUAAAAUUCCGAAAAAUAGUUUCGAGCUUUAAAAUAUUAUUCUAAAAUAUGAUUGAAGCUCGUUAAUUGAUUUCAAAUGAUUUCGGACUUGAUUUCGAGUAUCCAAAAUUGAUUAUUUAUUUAUAAAAUGAUUCUUUGGUCCGUUUUAAUCCCGAAAAAUGUUUUAAAAUCCAUAUCAAAUGCCAGAAAAAAAUCCUUUUGACUUCAAACCUUCUUUGAUAAAUAAAUUUCAUUGAAUAUCUUAUGUGAUACGUGUUGUGGCAUAUCUGAUUGAUGUGUUACGUGUCUACAUGAGCAUUACAGAAUGGUUUUUACAUAUCUUUUGAUCUGUAAGUCGGAUUUAAAUGAAACGAAGGGUAGUUAGAAACUCGUUACGAAGGUGUGAUGAUAAGAAUAGUAUGAGAUCAUAUAUUGAUAGAUGAUUGUUGUGAUUAGCAGAAGAAACAAGGCGUAGAAAGGAAAAGCAAGUGGCGAUAGAGUAGUAUAGCGAGCAAGUGUAAUUGAAACUUGAGAUCAGCUAUAUAAGGCAAGUUCCCUGAGACUUUCCUACAAUUAUAUACUGUAUCUGUGGUGAUUAUUUAACGAGCUUUCUGAUUAAGCCCUGUGAUCUAUUGAAUUAUAGCAUGGAUUAUUUAUCCUAUUGAUUUUUGAACCUUCAACCAGAUUCCUUGAAUUAUAAUAUGGAUUCUUUACUUUAUUGAUUCUUGAACCUUUGACCCGAUUCUUUGAUAUCUGCCACGAACCCUAUUUCAAUUGUAAACCUUCAAUUUUUAAAACUUCUAAAUGAUUACCCUAAAAACCUAAUUUCAUUUCAAGAACAUGCCCUCGAAACCUCAACCAGUUAUCAAUCACACAUCUUUCAGACCUUAAUCAGUUGAUCAGCCCCAAAUAACAUCUGUUAAGACAUAUACUUUACAGUUGAUUGAUUUUUUUCUAUGAACUCUAGUUUCUUGAUCUUAAAAGCAUUCAUUUAUACUUGGAUUCUUUUUGUGAACCUAGAACCUUCUUCAUAAAAACACUAAACUUUGAUAUGCCUUGCCAUCCUAUAAGGCAAUGUCUGAUUCUUUGCUAAACCAUGAAGAUAUUUCUCAUUCCUCCUUUGAGAUCCAUCUGAGACACUUUGAAUAGUAGUCUGCUUCUGCUUCAAAAUUUAUUUAUGAUGUUGAUGUUUCUAUUUUAUUGAAUAAUAUUGUUGAUCAUCUUGAUUGUGAUAGAAUUGGAUAGUUUUCUAAACUUGGACCAAAUGAAUGGUCAGACCAGAUGAGUGGUCGCUUUAGGCCAAUGUGUGCCUUGGAUCCAGUAAACGAGCAUGGUGGGACCUGCUCGGGGUUAGUGUCUGACUGAUCAGCAGCCUAACCUUUGAUUUUUAAAAAUAAAUUUAAUAUCCAAUUCUAAUCAAUGUUCUAAAAACAAAUCUUGGUAUUGAGAUUGAUUCCUUGAGACACUGGUUUCCUUCAGCUUAUGAUUAAUAUUUUAAAUUGAUAUUGUUAUACUUGCUGAGCUGGUUAGCUCACUCUUGCGGUAUUUUAUGUUCUUUCCAGUGAAGGCAGAGAAAGUUGGUAACGAUGACCCUCAGGCUAGUGGUAAGGCCAGGAUUCCAGGCUAGGAGAUGAAGAGAGCUAUCAGCAGCGCCUGGCUUUUUUUAUAUAUGUACUAGUUUGAAUAACGAGACACAAAUGAUGUGUAAGCUUGUAAGAAUUAAGUUUAUAUUUUGGGAUUUGGGUUUGUAAUAAUUAAAGUUGUGUUGUGGCUUGUUUUAUACUUUAACCUGUUGCGAUCCAUGGACAGUUAAGGGUCACUGUAUAUAUUAUAUUAUUAAUUACAGGUUUAUGUUAAGGUGUGGACCCCAAACUUCUGACCCGGGUUUGGAGGGCGCCACAGGUUGGUAUCAGAGCGACGGGUUUAAGUCAAUGAAACAAGCCUAGAUUGUUAGGUUGGGUAGAAGUUUAGGAUUAGAAAUGAGUGAUAGGUAGAUAGAACGUUGAGAGGUUGAGGAUUAUUCGUAAUAGAUUUAGGAUUGAUGUUGGUAGUGGAUGCAGAUUUUCAUACGUGUUUGUUCAUGUUGAUUCUCAGACUAUCAGGCAUGUCAGGCCCCAGUACCCCGGUUCAUUCUGAUCAUUCAGAGUCGACAGUUGAGGGACUUCCACCUCGUCCAGGAGUUGUACCUAUAUCUCCACCCAGGGCACUUACACCCCCACCUGUAGCAGGACCUUCACGUCCACCUGGAUACCCUCGUAGUGGACAGACCCCUAUUGCAGCUGUACCGCUCAGGGAUAUACCCCCACUUGCACCUGAGAUGCCCCCACCUGCUCCUAUUAUGCGACCUCCUAUCCGUGGACCUCCACCAGAGCAUGAGUCUUCAGGAUUUUCGGGUGUCGGACCCUCUUAUCCGUGUUCCCCUCUUUCAGUACCCUAUCACUACUAUCAGGCACUUUUGAUGGAGAGAGAUGAGUUGUUGGGCCAGAUUGGGGAGCUGACACAGGCGAUGAGGGAUUUAGAUCCUAAUAGGGCAGAGCGACAGUUGAGAGAGGAGAUACGUGCUUUUUGGAUAGAGGCAGUAGAGAGGUUAUGUGGGAUUACCGCACCACUUGGUACCCCUGGAGAUAUUAUAGAUUGGGCUCGUUGGGUCUUGGAGCGGCUGGAUGUUAUCGGAGGACCAGACUUUCCCUAGGUCUGGAGUAUAUCAUGUGUUGGAGAUGGUUAGUACUAUAGUGAGUAGUGUGUAUGAUGCAGCAUAGUGAGUAGUUGUAUCAGGUCAGCCGAUUUUGACAUGUACAUAUAGACUAGCGGAGCUGGCCAGAUGAUGUGUAUGUUGUUAUGAUCAUCAGCAGAUUUUGACAUGUAUAUAUAGACUAGCUGAGUUGACUGGAUAGCCUUGUUGUUGCUGUUGUUGUACCUUACUUUUGAUGAAGCGCUUGACGCUUGUAUCCUUAGCACUGACUUAUAUAUAUCAGCAUCUUUUACUUUACAGUCUUGUCAUUUACUUUAUCGCACUUGCUUUACUUUAUUUUACUUUCAGUACCGAUCAUAAACUCUUGUGAUAAUAUUGCCACCUUUCUUUUAAUGUUUUACAUUCUGUAAAGAAGCAUGCAAUUUAUUUAGUUAAACAAUCUCAAAAAUGUUUUCAAAAAUGUAUAAAUCUGUUUCUUAAAAACCUUUUAUAAAAAGAGAAUUUGAUUUAAAAUGACUAAGUAAAUUGUUUCUUCUUUACAGAAUGCCUCCAACAAGACAUACUCGUGCCAACAGUGAUCCUGAAGGCACCAACAGCAUCAAUGAUAACAAUGAUAACCAGAAUGUCAAUAUAGGCCCAGUAGAUCCUGCUGUGGCCCAACUCAUUCAAAUUUUGGCUCAACAAACUGCUCAUCUUACCCGACAACAGCAACAUCAAGAGAAUCCUAGGGUAACUUUUAAAACUUUUCAGGCAGUUAAUCCUCCAGAGUUUAAGGGCUCAGCAGAUCCUGUUGCAGCCCAAAC
rnacentral:lncRNA from 1 species